AUUUAAAUUAGAUUCAUAUAUAUAUAUAUAUACACUUUCCUCUUGAAUAAGUUUACUUUCAAGUUUUUUCGAACCUUUUUACUAAUCACACCAAAAUCACUUGGAGAUUUAUCAUCCAAAGAACAAGCCAAAUUAAAAAAAAAAGGGAAUAAAGAACUUUCUAAGUAAUAAAAAUAUUGGUCUAUAAUUUAUGAUAAUACGAACAACAUGUUCAUGGUACUUGCUACACGCGAUAUAACUUGCAAGUAUGCAAAAUUACACACAGAACUAUAAACCUUAAUACUAAAAAAGGAGGGUUUUAUUUUAGUUUAGUUUUAUCAUGUUUUUGAGAAACAUGAAGAACAAGAAAGAAAAACACCCAAAACUAUAUAUUUAUUUUUCAUCAGUUAUAAGCAUCUCCCAUAGUCGAAGAAGAAUUAAGCUGCAAGUUGAUCCAUCGGCACUCAAGCGGAAUUUGCGAAGCCUUUGUUGUAAGCAUAAUCUACAAGGGCAUUGAACUCCUCGCCGCUUAUCAAAUUGUCGUUAUUUUUAUCGGCAACUUCCAUGGCCUCAUCAGCUUGCUUGUAUGGCAUGAGUGCUCCUAGAUGAUCAAAAGCAUUCUUGACCUGGUCCCUGUUGAGGCUGCCAUAAGAAGCGUAAGCGUUAAACACUUUUUCCAAAUUUUUUUUCUUAUCUUUGUUUUCCUUCCGCCCAAAAUACAUCUUUUCAGCACUAGACUUGGCUUGCUUUGUGGUUUUUGAGGUUUAUGACAAGGUCAGAUUAGAGAGAAGGCUUGCCUAGCUUGGUUUGUUUUUCUUUUCCAAUGCAAUUUGUUUAUAUAGACCCAUAACUCGAAUACGAUUCUGUUAAAAGUAUAGGGGAAUAAAACCUUUUUUGGAGGUCGGUUUUAAAGUUAGAUUUGGAUUGAAAGCGAAGAAUACAAUUGUAUGAUAUUUUCUUCAUUCAUCAUGUACACGUCCCUUGAAUUUAUUUGAGUUGAUCCAUCC
rnacentral:lncRNA from 1 species